UACGUAGGCAGCGAGCGUUUGUUCGGAGUUACUGGGCGUAAAGGGUGUGUAGGCGGUUGUUUAAGUUUGGUGUGAAAUCUCCCGGCUCAACUGGGAGGGUGCGCCGAAUACUGAAUGACUAGAGUGCGGGAGAGGAAAGUGGAAUUCCUGGUGUAGCGGUGAAAUGCGCAGAUAUCAGGAGGAACACCGGUGGCGAAGGCGGUUCUCUGGGCAUGUCCUGACGCUGAGGCGCGAAAGCUAGGGGAGCAAACGGG
rnacentral:rRNA from 1 species